UACGUAGGUGGGAGUGUAAGUCAGAUGUGAAAGCCUGGAGCUCAACUCCAGAAUUGCAUUUGAAACUACAUUCCUUGAGGGUAGACGGAGAAGACGGAAUUCCACGUGUAGCGGUGAAAUGCGUAGAUAUGUGGAAGAACACCGGUGGCGAAGGCGGUCUUCUAGUUUAUUCCUGACACUGAGGUACGAAAGCAAGGGGAGCAAACAGGAUUAGAUACCCUGGUAGUCC
rnacentral:rRNA from 1 species